rnacentral:rRNA from 1 species
UCCAGACUCCUACGGGAGGCAGCAGUGGGGAAUAUUGGGCAAUGGGCGCAAGCCUGACCCAGCAACGCCGCGUGAAGGAAGAAGGCUUUCGGGUUGUAAACUUCUUUUGACAGGGAAGAGUAGAAGACGGUACCUGUCGAAUAAGCCACGGCUAACUACGUGCCAGCAGCCGCGGUAAUACGUAGGUGGCAAGCGUUGUCCGGAUUUACUGGGUGUAAAGGGCGUGUAGCCGGGUUGACAAGUCAGAUGUGAAAUCCUGCGGCUUAACCGCAGAACUGCAUUUGAAACUGUUGAUCUUGAGUACUGGAGAGGCAGACGGAAUUCCUAGUGUAGCGGUGGAAUGCGUAGAUAUUAGGAGGAACACCAGAGGCGAAGGCGAUUAACUGGACCGUAACUGACGCUGAGGCACGAAAGUGUGGGUAGCAAACAGGAUUAGAUACCCGUGUAC